GCCUCCGUAGCUCAGUGGAUUAGAGCAUCCGGCUUCUAUCCGGUUGGUCGCGGGUUCGAAUCCUGCCGGGGGCA
rnacentral:tRNA from 1 species